GAAGGAAGCACUGUCUGGUAUGUAUAGACUGUUAUCUGAGGAGGAGAGGGAGGACUCAUUUUGGGAGACCAUUGAAGACGUGGCCAAUAAACUGUUUCUUAUACCUUGUCUACCUGAAGGACUCCUCUCAUUAGAAGUAACUCUACCUGGUUUUUCAUCACCAACAAUCAUUAUGCCACCAAGAGGAGGUUA